CCGGAGUCCAUCCCCACCUCCUCCGGCCCGGCCGGGCCGACGAGUCCGGAGGGGCUGCCGCGGGAGCCCCAGGUCUCCCCAGAUGCCGGUUAAGAUCUCUCGUCCUGCCUGAAGGUCAGCGGUGGAGACCUUGGCCAUGGCGUCUGUGUCGGAGCCCGUUACCUUCAGAGAGUUCUGCCCGCUGUACUAUCUGCUGAAUGCCAUCCCCACGAAGAUCCAGAAGGGCUUCCGCUCACUGGUGGUCUACCUCACGGCCCUCGACACCAACGGGGACUACAUCGCGGUGGGCAGCAGCAUCGGCAUGCUCUACCUGUACUGCCGGCAGCACGGCCAGAUGAGGAAGUACAACUUCGAGGGGAAAACUGAGUCCAUCACGGUGGUGAAGCUGCUGAGCUGCUUCGAUGACCUGGUGGCUGCAGGCACAGCUUCUGGGAGGGUUGCAGUUUUUCAGCUUGUAUCCUCAUUGCCAGGGAGAAAUAAACAGCUUCGGAGGUUUGACGUCACUGGCAUUCACAAAAAUAGCAUAACAGCUCUGGCUUGGAGCCCCAAUGGGAUGAAACUGUUCUCUGGAGAUGAUAAAGGGAAAAUCGUCUAUUCUUCUCUGGAUCUAGAUCAGGGCGUCUGCCGCUCACACCUGGUGCUGGAGGAGCCGGCCUCCAUCGUGCAGCUGGACUACAGCCAGAAGGUGCUGCUGGUCUCCACGUUGCAGCGGAGCCUGCUGUUCCACACCGAGGAGCGCUCCGUGCAGCAGGUCGGGGCACAGCCGCGGAAAAGCACUGGGAAAUUUGGUGCCUGCUUUAUACCAGGACUCUGUAAGCAAAGCGAUCUAACUUUGUACGCAUCCCGGCCUGGGCUCCGGCUGUGGAAGGCUGACAUCCAUGGGACUGUCCAGGCCACGUUUAUCUUAAAAGACGUCUUCGCCGGAGGAGUCAAGCCUUUCGAGCUUUAUCCACGCCUGGACUCUGCCGCGCGGGGAGGGUGCAGCUCGCCUGAGAAGCACUUGGGGCUCGUGUCGUGUUUCUUCCAAGAAGGUUGGGUGUUGAGUUGGAAUGAAUACAGUAUUUACCUUCUGGACACUGUCAACCAGGCCACCAUUGCUGGUUUGGAAGGAUCAGGUGAUAUUGUGUCUGUUUCCUGCACAGAAAAUGAAAUAUUUUUCUUAAAGGGAGACAGGAACAUUAUACGAAUUUCCAGCAGGCCUGAAGGACUAGCAUCAAUAGUUAAAUCAGCUUCUUUACCGGUGCGGGACGGUCUGGAGACAUCGGUGUGCUCAGAGCAAGUCCAUGGGCCGCGUGCAGAGAAGCUGCCGGCGGCCAUGCCUUCCGAGACGAGGCUCCGCGGCGCUUCGGUGGCCAGCUCCGUGGCCAGCGAGCCCAGGAGCAGGAGCAGCUCGCUCAAUUCCACGGACAGUAGCUCCGGGCCUCAGACAGCCCCCGAGCUGGGCAGGGGUGGCCCGCUCACCUCGAACAGGUUCAGCGUGAUAAGCUCGGAGGACUUCGACCAGGAGCUCGUGGUGAAGCCUCUCAGGGUGAAAAAGAAGAAGAGGACGAAGAAGACAGAAGGUGGAAGCAGCACCGCGGGCCCCAGCUCCCUUGAGUCGACCCCCGGCUGUGAGUUUCCUGGGGACAGCCCCCAGUCCGUGAGCAUGGACCUGCCAUCCAUGGCCUCCAGCUUGGGCAGCGUCAUGGACCGGUCCAGCACAGGGUCUCCUGACCAGGAGAGCAGUCUCAGCGGGGAGGCCACUGGUGUGCUGCCAGAGUUUAGCGACUCCGAGGCAUUCAGUGUCCUGGAGGUGCCCCUGCCUGCCCCUGACCUGCUGAACCGAGGCGGUGACGGGAGAGCUGAAAUCCCCUUGGGCGACGGCGAGGGCGGGACAGAGCCGCCCGCUGGGGCGGUGAGCUCUUCCUGGCGCCUGCCGGAGCACAUGGAGAACUCUGAGGACGUCGUGGAGCUGGAGGAGGAGCCUCAUCCUGCAGACGGUGGGCCGGGUGCUGCGGCGGAGGCCCGAGGGGAGGGGGCCGUGCAGCCUGAUGGCCUCCCGGGCGCUUUCUCAGAACCCUGCAUCCUGGACUCGGCACCGGUGCCUUCCCACCUCAGCUGGGCCCUCAGUGCAGAGCAGCAGCUUCCGGGGGCCACGGCUGACGAAGGCAGAGCUGAGGAACCUCCUGAAGAGCAGGGCUUCCCGACGCACGUGGGAGCCCCCCACCACCUCAGCCUGAGUCCCCGGCACGCUGCUCCUGACGCUGACACGGGCCAGACGGCGGUUGUCACUUCCGAGCAUGACCUGGGCGGGGGCGGCCAGCCGCCUCCCUGGGCCUCGGCCUCAGCAGCCGGAGCCCAGGAGCAGCCCCCGCGGGACCAGGCGCUGACCUCCAGCGACGAGGAGGACAUCUAUGGCCAUGGGCUGCCCUCUUCAUCCUCGGAGACGAGUGUGACGGAGCUGGGAGGGGACCGCUCCCUGCAGGACCUGAGGCAGCUGGGCACAGACGACCCUGGGCUGCUCAAGGCCGACCAGUUUGCAGAAAGCUGGAUGGGCUACUCCGGGCCCGGCCACGGCAUUCUCAGCUUGGCGGUCUCUGAGAAGUACCUCUGGUGCCUGGACUACAAAGGCGGCCUGUUCUGCAGCGCGUUGCCAGGCGCUGGGCUGCGCUGGCAGAAGUUCGAAGAUGCCGUCCAGCAGGUGGCAGUCUCGCCCUCAGGCGCCCUUCUUUGGAAGAUUGAACAGAAGUCUAACCGAGCCUUUGCGUGCGGAAAAGUGACCAUCAAGGGGAAACGCCACUGGUACGAAGCUCUGCCCCAGGCGGUGUUUGUGGCCCUGAGCGAUGACACGGCCUGGAUCAUCAGGACCAACGGGGACCUGUACCUGCAGACAGGUCUCAGCGUGGAUCGCCCCUGCGCCAGAGCCAUGAAGGUCGACUGUCCGUUCCCGCUGUCCCAAGUCACUGCCCGCAACAGUGUGGUGUGGGCGCUGACGGAGCAGCGAGCCCUCCUGUACCGGGAGGGGGUGAGCAGCUUCUGCCCCGAGGGGGAGCAGUGGAAGUGUGACAUCGUCAGUGAGAGGCAGGCUUUGGAGCCCGUCUGUAUAACUCUCGGGGACCAGCAGAGCCUGUGGGCCCUGGACAUCCGAGGAAACCUGUGGUUCCGGACUGGCAUCGUUUCCAAGAAACCCCAAGGAGAUGACGACCACUGGUGGCAAGUGAGCAUCACGGACUACGUGGUGUUCGACCAGUGCAGCCUGUUCCAGACCAUCAUCCACGCCACGCACUCGGUGGCCACAGCGGCCCAGGUGCCCGUGGAGAAGGUGGCGGACAGACUCCGCACAGCCUUCUGGUCGCAGCAGCUGCAGUGCCAGCCGAGCCUGCUGGGCGUCAACAACAGCGGCGUCUGGAUCUCCUCGGGCAAGAACGAAUUCCACGUCGCUCGAGGGAAUCUCAUCGGCACUUACUGGAAUCAUGUUGUUCCCCGGGGGACCGCCUCUGCCACAAAGUGGGCCUUCGUGUUGGCGUCCACUGCCCCCACCAAGGAAGGAAGCUCUCUGUGGCUGUGCCAGAGCAGCAAGGACCUGUGUCGUGUGAGCGCCCAGCACGCCCAGUCCCGCCCGUCCACCGUGCAGCUGCCCCCUGACGCCGAGAUGAGGGCCUAUGCUGCCUGCCAGGAUGCCCUGUGGGCGCUGGACAGCCUCGGCCAGGUGUUCAUCCGGACGCUGUCCGCCAGCUGCCCCACGGGCAUGCACUGGGCCCGGCUGGACCUCUCCCAGCUAGGAGCUGUGAAACUGACGAGCCUGGCCUGUGGAAACCAGCAUGUCUGGGCCUGCGACUCCAGGGGUGGCGUUUACUUCCGCGUUGGCACCCAGCCGCUGAACCCCAGUCUGAUGCUUCCGGCCUGGAUAGCGAUUGAGCCGCCUGUCCAGCCCGCUGGGGUCACCUUGGUCAGCGUCCACUGCAGCCCCGACGACCAGACGCUGUGGGCCCUGGACAGCAGGUGGAACGUGCAUGUCCGAGCUGGGAUCACCGAGGAGAUGCCAGUGGGGACCGACUGGGAGCACGUGCCAGGGCUGCAGGCCUGCCAGCUGGCCCUGAGCGCCAGGACCGUGUGGGCCCGCUGUCCCAACGGGGACCUCGCCCGACGGUACGGCGUCAGCGACAAGAACCCUGCCGGGGACUACUGGAAGAAGAUCCCGGGGAACGUGAUGUGUGUCACAGUGACCUCAUCGGACGAGCUGUGGGCAGUGGGCCCGCCCGGCUACCUCCUCCAGCGGCUGACAAGGACGUUCAGCCACUCGCACGGCGCCCAGGGCAGCCACGCUGCCACCCCCCACCCCGAGGACCUGGAGGAUGAGUGGGAGGUCAUCUGAAGGUUCUCCCAGGAGGGCGGACGUGGCACCCUGAGCGGGGAAACAGACGGCUUCUGAGUCACUCGCCCUGGACACGCCUCGCAGCCCCCAUCAGACACGUCUAGGCAGGCAGGCGUGUCCGAGAGCCCCUGGGCCACAGGUGAAAAACGAUAAGAUAUGCUCUGUGGCAGGACCCAGCCAGCCAGGAGGACGGAGCUUUCCCAGGUCUACCUAAGGACGAGAAGCCGCAGCGCCCGCCCGCACCUCAGCCCUCACCCCGACAGAGCCCCUCACGCGUGCCGGCAGCGGAGGCCCCUCUCCUGCGCCCGCUGUGCCUUGCCCGGCUCCUCUCCCCGCUCGGCAGAGCUCCGCCGAACCUGCGGGGCUUCAGUGCAAUGAGACCCGUCUGGUUUGAUACUUCCCAGUGACUUGUAGCUUCAGUGCUUUGUACAGUUUCUGGUUUUCCAGUUGUGCUUUGAGACAGUGCAAUAAACUUGCCUCUCCCCGCCUAGUCCAGUCUGACGUCUGAGAGAGAAGCCGCCCUGAGUGGCGCUCCUGCAGGCUGUUCCCGCCGGUGCCUCCGAGAACCUGCUGCCGUGUUCCCGGCCCAGCCCCCCGCCAGGAGGGUGUGCCGGGGGCGGCCCUGCGGAGUGUCACUCCAGAGGCGCCCCUGGGGGCAGGCUCUAAGGGCAAGACCACGGGCCUGAAUCUCCACCCACGACCCAAAAGCAGAUACCAGAAGUGCCCUGGUGGAAACCAGCAGGUGGGAGAAGAGCGUGUUCAUGACACAGCAGAAUGGCUGCGUGCCAGGAAACUACCUGAGUAAGACACGUCACUCAGUCAAGAGCCAGCCAGGCUUUAUGGAAGACUUCCAUGAAGCUUGACCGGGAAGGUGUGGCCAACAUUCCUGAGGGCAAGCCACAGACACGGUGCAGACAUCAGUCCUCUCCAAAAGCAUCUAUGGGUUUCUCUCCAUUUGUCAAACUCCCCACUGGGAUUCUUUUUGUUGGGGGAGGCAGAGAAGACUCCAUAAAAUAACAUUUGUGCCCACAGGCAUGCUCUGAGGGUCUCCCAGCUCACUGGGGCUCCAGUGAGACCCGGCGAGGGGAAGUUGAUGGAGGCGGCACAGCGCGCGCUGGGGUUGGACCCAGCUCCGUGGGCUCCAGGCCUUGCUGGGAAGAAACAGGUGAGCGGUGCUGAGCGACGAUGGCCCCGAAUGAAGCAGGCCGUGGGUGGGCCAGCGGUGACAUGGGGCAGCCCAGCAGGGCCCACGGGCCAUUAGCCAGAUGGAGGUGGGGGAGGCGACUGCGAGCUGGCGUGGACCUCAGCCUAACCGCUUGGGUGAAGCAGAUACCAAGUGGACGAGAGGAUCUUAAAACCUGGGGACAAAGGACAGUAACUGACUUCUGGAUGGCAAGCGCUUUCUAAACUCCAAAGUGGUGGGAAAAGUCAGAGGAAAAUAGUUUAUUAUUUCCUCAAUUGAUUUCCUCAAAUUAUAACAAUCCUAUACAUUAAAAAACACACACACACUUAAAACUAAAAGGGGAAACAACUGCAGCAAGUCGGAGGAACACCUGAGACCCCCGUGACCAGAGGUGAAAGGACACGGCCUUCCGAGCCCCCAGGGCACACGCAGGGCUGGUGGCGCCCGGCUCGGCCCUCCCGGGAAGGCGGCCAACAGCCCGGCAGCAGCCUUACAACCCUCACACCCGUAGACCCCGGCUUCCAGACACCUGUCCCCGAGAACAAACCUAAGUCAGGCGUACGGCUGCGGCAUCCGUGGGAAUUGUGAAACACUAAAACAGCUGACUGACAGCAGCUGACACUUGGGAACAUCCCUCUCAAACAGCACGCAGCUGUUACAAACGCGUGUGCCCCUGGAGGAAAUCUGCUGAGCAGUCUUAGGCAGUUUCACUGUAUCGACGCUAAAUCUCUUGGGCGUGGUAAGGAGAAUGUGGUUUUGUAGGACUUCAUACACAGAGUAAGAUGACACACGUGUCUGCGUUUCUCUCUUCUAACUUCUGGUGGGUUUGCAACGUUUCAUAGUAAUCCCAGGGGACACAGGAGGGGCAGACACUACACACGCAGCUGGCCUUGGUGGCUGGUGGUCGCCUGUAGUGUACCUUUUUGUAUCUUUUGAAUUUGAGCCAUGUAAAUGUAUUAUUUAUUCCAAAAAUAAAUAAAAUUUACAUUUUAAA